GUGUAGGUGCUGUAUGUUUGGAGGGAUUGUGGAGGUGGGGGCAGAUUAUUAAAUCCUUGCUGCCAUGUGCCAUCCCUGGUGGUCCAGUGGAGAGUGAACUCUAGCCUGCAGGACUAGAAUUAACUCUCGCGAGAUCUGAGCGUUGCCGCAGCAACGCUCAGAUAUCGUGAGAGGAACCUGGCGGAGCUUCUGUCUAGAGCUCCCUGGGUCCUCUCCUGCCUCCCU